UCCCGGUUGGCCCGGGCAGUCUUGCCUGAAAAAUACAACAGACAACAAGGGUUGCGCUCGUUGCGGGACUUAACCCAACAUCUCACGACACGAGCUGACGACGGCCAUGCAGCACCUGUCACCAGGUUCCCGAAGGCACGGCACUGUUUCCAGCGCCUUCCUGGGAUGUCAAGCCUUGGUAAGGUUCUUCGCGUAGCCUCGAAUUAAACCACAUCAUCCACCGCUUGUGCGGGUCCCCGUCAAUUCCUUUGAGUUUUAAGCUUGCGCUCGUACUCCCCAGGCGGCACACUUAACGCGUUAGCUUCUCAGCCCAGGGGGUCGAUACCCCAGACUAAUAGUGUGCAUCGUUUACGGCGUGGACUAC
rnacentral:misc_RNA from 1 species